UACGUAGGGGGCAAGCGUUGUCCGGAUUCAUUGGGCGUAAAGAGCGUGUAGGCGGCCAGGUAGGUCGGUUGUGAAAACUGGAGGCUCAACCUUCAGAGGUCGACCGAAACCAUCUGGCUAGAGUCCGGGAGAGGAGAGUGGAAUUCCUGGUGUAGCGGUGAAAUGCGCAGACAUCGGGAGGAACACCAACGGCGAAGGCGGUUCUCUGGGCCUUACCUGACGCUGAGGAGCGAAAGCGUGGGGAGCGAACAGG
rnacentral:rRNA from 1 species